AAGUCGUAACAAGGUCUCCGUAGGUGAACCUGCGGAGGGAUCAUUAAAAAACGAGUUGCGAGACUCGAAAACCAUCGCGAACGUUACCUCGUCGUCGUUGCUUCGGCGGGUGGCCCCGCGAGGGCGCCCGCCGGAGGAGCGCAAACACUCUGUUUUCUCAGCGCCUCUCUGAGUGGAUACAGCGAAAUAAAUCAAAA
rnacentral:misc_RNA from 1 species